CCUUCACAUCUCCCUCUGGUGUCUGAAAACCCAAGAACAUUCAUUUCCUUAUGUAUAGACUCAACAAUCCUUUAUUGGAAUGGGAGAGGGGGCUCGCAUUCAUCCACUGUCCCAUUCACUGUGAAUGAAUUGGUUGGUUUGCAUUCACUCAACGUCUGUAGAACUGGAGGGAACAGGACACAGAAAAGAGUAGGCCAGAGGAACAACUGCCCAGGAUUCAGGGGCAAGAGGAGAACUGUUUCCCCCCAGGGGUGUCUCACCCGGGUCAGAAUCACUCAUGAUGGCCUCAGGGACCAGGAAGUUAUGAGCAGAGACCCUUGGUGAGGUCUACACACCACAGUUCUGCCUGAAGACGAUCCUUAUUUUAGAGAGCCAAUUUAAAGUAGGAGGAAAGCAAAAGGAAUGUUACUGAAUUGGUGUCAGAGAGGAGGAGGCAUCCCCCACGGAACUUGAAUGCCAACAGCUCUUCAUCGAUUCACAU
rnacentral:lncRNA from 1 species